rnacentral:lncRNA from 1 species
CCGAAGGUCCAAAAAUCUCUCACAUUUUCUUUACUGAUGACCUGACCUUUUUUGCCAAAGCCGAAGUCACCAAUUGUAGGACCAUUAUCUCGGUCCUAACUGAUUUCAACAAAGACUCAGGCCAAGGGCUAAUUAUGCCAAAUCCAGGGUCAUUUUCUCUAAGAAUUACAAUAGUUCUAUUGUUAAUGGAUGUUCUACCAUCCUCAACAUUAGGAAGAGCG